GAUGCUGGUGGUGGCACUCCUGACUUUCAGGACAGGGUUCGAGUCCCUGCGGUGUC
rnacentral:sRNA from 1 species